rnacentral:lncRNA from 1 species
CAAGACUCCGGGGCCUUUGGGUAGUGAGAGAACCAAGUUAGAAAACACAUUCUUGUAACUUUAAAAAUAAAUUCUUGUCUGCCAACUAGAAACAGCCUCCUAAUGUGCCACAUCCCACAUGCAUUUGGUUUUAAUUUGUUUGCUUUUUCUCAGUGAUUGCUCUUUAAUUAUUGCAAUGUUGAAACAACUUGCUCUGUCUCCAAAAAUACGCUACAGUAGGUGGGGAAAAGAUGAGGGGUAAAGAAUAGGCAGCCUGGAAGGCUGGGGAAGCAGCUGUCCAGAGAACGUUCUCAUACUCAGGGGAGGGGGUUGGUGUUCAGGGCUUUCAUCCCCAUGCAGUACCUCCCGAAGGACAGGAUGGCAAUCCAAAGGCGAGUUGCUGGCAGUCAAUGUAUCAUCUUUUGGAGAAUUAUGAAAUCAUUUUUAUGAAGCUAUGAUGCAUUAAUCUGAAAUAAGUUAAACUGGUUGGACUAUGUCAGCAGCAGCAGGAAGAUACAAAUUCUACUUUAUCCAAAAAUCAAAUAAUGACGUCUCUAAUCCUUGCCUCCCCUCUUCCAUACUACUCUCCUGAGAUGAAAUGGUGAACCCAGGAGCUCAUGUUAAACAUUUGGGUUCUUCACUCAUGCCAUGAGGAUGUCUACUAGGGUCCAUAUACCCUCCACUAAAGUCUCCCCCUUCAUGGUCUUCAACAAUGAUGACAACUGGAGACAACAGCUGAUGAGAUGAUUGCACACCCAUCUGAGUGACUUGGUCCCGUCCGUCUUUAUUGAGAAGCUCAGCCUACCAAUGUCAUCUGAAGGAGCAUGAAUAGUUGUAUCAGGACUGGUGUGGCAUGGGGACCAGGCAGAUGUGGAUUUGGACCUCAGUUCUGUGCUUGCUGUGUGGCCUUCAUCUCUGACCUGGAGUUUUCUCACCUGAGGCACGUGGGGUCAAACCCCUGCUUUGUGUGGAUGGUGUGGAGGUUGGCAGUGCUAACCGUGGAGUCUCACCCGGUACGGAGGACAUCACUGGAACUCAAAAAAGGGCAGCCAAAGUUACUACUAUUUUCAUUUUUAAAAAUUAAAUAAAAUGAGAGAGUCCUAACUCUGG